AUUUAUGAAAAAUAGAUAUUAAGUUAAUUGAGUAAUUUAAGCACUAACAUAAUGAAAAAAAUUUUAAAAAUUUAAUGCAUGUUUUUUUAAUUUUUUAGGCAAAAAUUAGAGCUAAAAUCAAGUAAAAAUAUCUUUAAAAUAAUUUUUAUAGCCUUCGAUGCACGAUGGACCGAUCGCUCGGUCCAUAAAUUCAGAGGUGCGGUCCAUCGAAAAUGAUUCACGGUCUAUGGCGCGGUCCACGAUGAGCGAAUGCUUUUUCGCAUGAUUCGAUGGCCCAAAUUCAUCCCGAACC
rnacentral:lncRNA from 1 species